AGUCGAGCGGUAGAGAGAAGCUUGCUUCUCUUGAGAGCGGCGGACGGGUGAGUMAUGCCUAGGAAUCUGCCUGGUAGUGGGGGAUAACGUUCGGAAACGGACGCUAAUACCGCAUACGUCCUACGGGAGAAAGCAGGGGACCUUCGGGCCUUGCGCUAUCAGAUGAGCCUAGGUCGGAUUAGCUAGUUGGUGGGGUAAUGGCUCACCAAGGCGACGAUCCGUAACUGGUCUGAGAGGAUGAUCAGUCACACUGGAACUGAGACACGGUCCAGACUCCUACGGGAGGCAGCAGUGGGGAAUAUUGGACAAUGGGCGAAAGCCUGAUCCAGCCAUGCCGCGUGUGUGAAGAAGGUCUUCGGAUUGUAAAGCACUUUAAGUUGGGAGGAAGGGCAUUAACCUAAUACGUUAGUGUUUUGACGUUACCGACAGAAUAAGCACCGGCUAACUCUGUGCCAGCAGCCGCGGUAAUACAGAGGGUGCAAGCGUUAAUCGGAAUUACUGGGCGUAAAGCGCGCGUAGGUGGUUUGUUAAGUUGGAUGUGAAAUCCCCGGGCUCAACCUGGGAACUGCAUUCAAAACUGACUGACUAGAGUAUGGUAGAGGGUGGUG
rnacentral:rRNA from 1 species